CCUACGGGAGGCAGCAGUAAGGAAUCUUCCGCAAUGGGCGAAAGCCUGACGGAGCAACGCCGCGUGGGCGAUGAAGGCCUUCGGGUCGUAAAGCCCUUUUCUGUGGGACGAUAAUGACGGUACCACAGGAAUAAGCCACGGCUAACUACGUGCCAGCAGCCGCGGUAAUACGUAGGUGGCUAGCGUUAUCCGGAUUCACUGGGCGUAAAGAGCGCGUAGGCGGUGUGCUAAGUUGGACGUGAAAGCCCCCGGCUUAACCGGGGGAGGUCGCCCAAUACUGGUGCACUUGAGGGUGGACGGGGAAAGCGGAAUUCCCGGUGUAGGGGUGAAAUGCGUAGAUACCAGGAGGAACACCGGUGGCGAAGGCGGCUUCCUGGACCGGUUCUGACACUCAUGCGCGAAAGCGGGGGGAGCAAACAGGAUUAGAUCCCCGGGUAGU
rnacentral:rRNA from 1 species